AGCAGCCGCGGUAAUUCCAGCUCCAAUAGCGUAUAUUAAAGUUGUUGCAGUUAAAAAGCUCGUAGUUGAACUUCAGGCCUGGCUGGACGGUUCGCCCUCUGGGUGAGCACUGUCUGUGGUCGGGUCCUACCUUCUGGCGAAGCGGCAUGGCCUUAACCGGCCGUGGCGGGGAACCAGGACUUUUACUGUGAAAAAAUUGAGUGUUCAAAGCAGGCACGCGCCUGAAUCAUUAGCAUGGAAUAAUGGAAUAGGACAAUGGUUCUAUUUGUUGGUUUCUAGGACCGUUGUAAUGAUUAAUAGGGAUAGUUGGGGGCAUUAGUAUUCAAUUGUCAGAGGUGAAAUUCUUGGAUUUAUUGAAGACUAACUACUGCGAAAGCAUUUGCCAAGGAUGUUUUCAUUAAUCAAGACGAAAGUUAGGGAUCGAAGACGAUCAGAUACCGUCGUAGUCUUAACAUAAACUAUGCGACUAGGAAUCGGGCGAUGUUGAACAAUGACGACGCUCGGGCACCGUA
rnacentral:rRNA from 1 species